UAUUUACUGGAUAGCAUGAAUGUGCUGGGAAAAAAAAAAAGCCCAAAUAAUCUAGCAUAAGGCAUGUUGUGAUCUGACCUUGUAUUUUUCAAUAAAUUUAUGUUUUUCAAGGUACUGGACUAACAUAGCCCUCUGAAGUGCUCGAGGGAUCGAAAUCAACUGUCCCUUCAGAACAGCCCAUCAGUCAGAUCACGAUAGACUUCGUAUCACACCUGUUUGAAAUGCAUUACUUCUCUGUUGAUAAAGGUAAUGGUUAAAUUUAAGAAGGGGAGA
rnacentral:lncRNA from 1 species